AAACUUGAAGAUGAAGAACUCGUCUCCUACAUACUAGAGGGUCUUGAUGUCGACUUUAACCCGCUGGUAUCUGCUGUUGCUGCGUGUGUGGAGCCUAUCUCUAUGGGAGAGCUCUAUACACAGAUGACAAGCUUCGAGC
rnacentral:snoRNA from 1 species